GAUGAACGCUGGCGGCGUGCUUAACACAUGCAAGUCGAACGGAGUGUAAACGCUGAAGCGAUUUCGGUCAAUUCUUGUUUAUACUUAGUGGCGGACGGGUGAGUAACGCGUGGGUAACCUGCCGUAUGCAGGGGGACAACAGUUGGAAACGACUGCUAAUACCGCAUAAGCGCACAGAUAGGCAUCUAUCAGUGUGAAAAGAAUUUCGGCAUACGAUGGACCCGCGUCUGAUUAGCUAGUUGGUGAGGUAACGGCCCACCAAGGCGACGAUCAGUAGCCGCCCUGAGAGGGUGAACGGCCACAUUGGGACUGAGACACGGCCCAAACUCCUACGGGAGGCAGCAGUGGGGAAUAUUGGACAAUGGGGGAAACCCUGAUCCAGCGACGCCGCGUGAGUGAAGAAGUAUUUCGGUAUGUAAACGCUCUCAUCAGCAAGGAAGAAAAUGACGUAC
rnacentral:rRNA from 1 species